rnacentral:rRNA from 1 species
CCUACGGGGGGCUGCAGUGGGGAAUAUUGGACAAUGGGGGGAACCCUGAUCCAGCCAUGCCGCGUGUGUGAAGAAGGCCCUCGGGUUGUAAAGCACUUUCAGUGAGGAAGAACGCCUGGUGGUUAAUACCCAUCAGGAAAGACAUCACUCACAGAAGAAGCACCGGCUAACUCCGUGCCAGCAGCCGCGGUAAUACGGAGGGUGCGAGCGUUAAUCGGAAUUACUGGGCGUAAAGCGCGCGUAGGUGGCUUGAUAAGCCGGUUGUGAAAGCCCGGGGCUCAACCUGGGAACGGCAUCCGGAACUGUCAAGCUAGAGUGCAGGAGAGGAAGGUAGAAUUCCCGGUGUAGCGGUGAAAUGCGUAGAGAUCGGGAGGAAUACCAGUGGCGAAGGCGGCCUUCUGGACUGACACUGACACUGAGGUGCGAAAGCGUGGGUAGCAAACAGGAUUAGAUACCCCAGUAGUC